AAAUUGAAGAGUUUGAUCAUGGCUCAGAUUGAACGCUGGCGGCAGGCCUAACACAUGCAAGUCGAACGGUAACAGGAAGAAGCUUGCUUCUUUGCUGACGAGUGGCGGACGGGUGAGUAAUGUCUGGGAAACUGCCUGAUGGAGGGGGAUAACUACUGGAAACGGUAGCUAAUACCGCAUAACGUCGCAAGACCAAAGAGGGGGACCUUCGGGCCUCUUGCCAUCGGAUGUGCCCAGAUGGGAUUAGCUAGUAGGUGGGGUAACGGCUCACCUAGGCGACGAUCCCUAGCUGGUCUGAGAGGAUGACCAGCCACACUGGAACUGAGACACGGUCCAGACUCCUACGGGAGGCAGCAGUGGGGAAUAUUGCACAAUGGGCGCAAGCCUGAUGCA
rnacentral:rRNA from 1 species